ACGCUGGCGGCAGGCCUAACACAUGCAAGUCGAGCGGUAGAGAGAAGCUUGCUUCUCUUGAGAGCGGCGGACGGGUGAGUAAUGCCCAGGAAUCUGCCUGGUAGUGGGGGAUAACGUUCGGAAACGGACGCUAAUACCGCAUACGUCCUACGGGAGAAAGCAGGGGACCUUCGGGCCUUGCGCUAUCAGAUGAGCCUAGGUCGGAUUAGCUAGUUGGUGAGGUAAUGGCUCACCAAGGCGACGAUCCGUAACUGGUCUGAGAGGAUGAUCAGUCACACUGGAACUGAGACACGGUCCAGACUCCUACGGGAGGCAGCAGUGGGGAAUAUUGGACAAUGGGCGAAAGCCUGAUCCAGCCAUGCCGCGUGUGUGAAGAAGGUCUUCGGAUUGUAAAGCACUUUAAGUUGGGAGGAAGGGCAGUUACCUAAUACGUGAUUGUUUUGACGUUACCGACAGAAUAAGCACCGGCUAACUCUGUGCCAGCAGCCGCGGUAAUACAGAGGGUGCAAGCGUUAAUCGGAAUUACUGGGCGUAAAGCGCGCGUAGGUGGUUUGUUAAGUUGGAUGUGAAAUCCCCGGGCUCAACCUGGGAACUGCAUUCAAAACUGACUGACUAGAGUAUGGUAGAGGGUGGUGGAAUUUCCUGUGUAGCGGUGAAAUGCGUAGAUAUAGGAAGGAACACCAGUGGCGAAGGCGACCACCUGGACUGAUACUGACACUGAGGUGCGAAAGCGUGGGGAGCAAAC
rnacentral:rRNA from 1 species